CAGAGCCGCGGGAAUACAGAGGGUGCGAGCGUUAAUCGGAUUUACUGGGCGUAAAGCGUGCGUAGGCGGCUUCUUAAGUCGGAUGUGAAAUCCCUGAGCUUAACUUAGGAAUUGCAUUCGAUACUGGGAAGCUAGAGUAUGGGAGAGGAUGGUAGAAUUCCAGGUGUAGCGGUGAAAUGCGUAGAGAUCUGGAGGAAUACCGAUGGCGAAGGCAGCCAUCUGGCCUAAUACUGACGCUGAGGUACGAAAGCAUGGGGAGCAAACAGGAUUAGAUACCCCCGUAGUCCCUGUCUCUUAUACA
rnacentral:rRNA from 1 species